rnacentral:rRNA from 1 species
GACGAACGCUGGCGGCGUGCUUAACACAUGCAAGUCGAACGGAAAGGCCCUGCUUUUGUGGGGUGCUCGAGUGGCGAACGGGUGAGUAACACGUGAGUAACCUGCCCUUGACUUUGGGAUAACUUCAGGAAACUGGGGCUAAUACCGGAUAGGAGCUCCUGCUGCAUGGUGGGGGUUGGAAAGUUUCGGCGGUUGGGGAUGGACUCGCGGCUUUUCAGCUUGUUGGUGGGGUAGUGGCUUACCAAGGCUUUGACGGGUAGCCGGCCUGAGAGGGUGACCGGCCACAUUGGGACUGAGAUACGGCCCAGACUCCUACGGGAGGCAGCAGUGGGGAAUAUUGCACAAUGGGCGGAAGCCUGAUGCAGCAACGCCGCGUGCGGGAUGACGGCCUUCGGGUUGUAAACCGCUUUCGCCUGUGACGAAGCGUGAGUGACGGUAAUGGGGAAAGAAACACCGGCUAACUACGU